ensembl:lncRNA
UUUAUUUUUUUAAAAAAGAUUAAAAGUGCAAAUACAUCAAUAAUAAUUGGAAAUUAUACACAAGUUAACAUUCUCUCUCUGUCUCUAUCUGUAUGUGUGUUUGUGAGAGAGUGAGAGUGAGUGAGAGAGAGUGAACACUCUCUCUCUCACAUUGAAGGCAUGAUGCCACCAUAGGUUUGCAGAUAACUAUAUACAAUAUGCACACUGAAGGCAUGAUGCCACCGUAGGUUUGCAGAGAACUAUAUACAAUAUGCACACUGAAGGCAUGAUGCCACCAUAGGUUUGCAGAGAACUACAUACAAUAUGCAUACUGAAGGCAUGAUGCCACCAUAGGUUUGCAGAUAACUAUAUACAAUAUGCACACUGAAGGCAUGAUGCCACCAUUGGUUUGCAGAGAACUACAUACAAUAUGCACACUGAAGCUGCUUCAGGAUUCUCAUAGAUCAGAGACAGUUCCGUCUUGAGCUUUGCCUUGUUCAGCGUGGGAUAUGCCUUCACAGUGGCAUUCAGAGCAUCAGCAGGAAAUGAAUGGCAGUACCUUUGAAACAUAUUCCUUGUACUAAGGUAGCACUCAGAUGGCCAAUGAAAGAGAACCUCGCUUUGGUGUGAGCCAGGAUGGUGUCGCAGAACUGUUCAGACAGCCUCUGCUUCGCCUCUUCUGUCAAAGCCGUCCUUGGUCUCUUGGUCGGUUCCUGAUGGCUCUUGCAGCUGGUCAGAG